rnacentral:lncRNA from 1 species
AUGGCUAUCAAAGGAGGCUUGGUGACAGGAAGAGAGCAGUCCUGCAAGCUGCAGCGGUACCUUGAGGUCAGCAUUAAAGUGCUCCAGGAAAGUGGACGUCUGCCAAGGAACUAUACUUGGCCCUGCCUCCCUCUUCAGGAAAUAUUGACUCAUCUGUCAGAUAUGUCCUCAACCGGUACCAGUAGAUAAAACUAACCUUCUUAUCAUCGCUUUAUGAAUGAAUGUUCAUGAUGAAACAUACCACACUUCUUUCCAUGUAACUACAGUCAUACUAACUGGCUCUUCCC